ensembl:lncRNA
CUGUGUAGCCAUGGCGAUGUUUGGGAAGGUUCUGGAGCCAGUGGGCUACAUGCAGACUGUGAGGGUCGUGGUGCAGGGCAUCUGCUCCUACCUGGGGGGUAGCGCGACGGCGGAGGAGAGCGAGUCGGCCCGGAAGAACCUGGACCACAUCGAUCAGGAGCUGGGGGCGUCGGGUCACGGCCUGCUGGACGACCAGGAGGUCCACCGGCUGGAGGACGACCUGGCCGUGGUGUACUACCAGCUGGGCACCGCGGUGAGGGCCCAGUCCGACUUCACCAAGAAGGAGACGGAGGUGUUCCUGCAGUACGCGCAGGACCACCGGCUGGAGAGGCAGCUGACGGCGCUCUACAGCCGCCUGAUGGGGGUGUCGGCGCUGACCGACCAGCCAACGCUGCUGGAGGAGCUCAUCCUCAACCGCAAGCCCAAGCGCUGGGAGCUCCGGGAGUUCUGCGUCAAGAUUAACUUUGUGCUGGGCACCGGUCUGCUGUGCCUCUUCACGCAGGCGUCUCUGACGGGCAGGGACCAGGCCCUGCUGAUGAAGACUUGGUCCGACCGCAUGGGUGCCCUCUACAGGAAGAUGAAGAACCAGGGGGGGCGCUGCCUGGGCUACUUCCUGGAGCAGGCGGAGGGGGAUGUGCGGGAGCAGCUCCAAGAGGCCGUGCAGAACCGCUCCCCGCCCGAAGAGGCGGCGGCGAGCAUCCUGAAGACCCUGGAGAGGAACUACGACUGGCUGCGCUGGGCGGUGAUGCUCCACCCGGCCGUGGGACCCAUGGAGGACGAGAAGGACGGGGAGGAGGAGGAGGAGGAGGAGGAGACAAAGGAAGUCGCGCCGCCGCCUCCGCAGCCACAGCAGUCUACCAAUUUAAUCUCCGUGGCGUCCGAGCCGCCCGUCCCCCACGUGGUGGCGUGCUACCGCGACACGCCCACGUCGCUGGACAAGAGCCGCAUCCACCAGCUCAUCGUGGACCUGGAGUGGAAGAUCCCCAACCCGCCCCCGGAGGUGUACGCCUCCAUCGAGGAAGACCCGGGCAGGGCGCGGCGCUACCUGGCCUCGCGCAUGCUGAGCAAGCUGCAGGAGGGGCUGGGGUCCGGCGUGGCGGUCCACGUGGUGCCGGGCAGGAUGGAGAUGAAGUGCAACUUCCCCCCGGCCUCCUACUACCUCUACGAGUACAAGCACCGUCUGGCCUCGGGCACCGUGUGCGUGUUCGGAUGA